rnacentral:lncRNA from 1 species
GGGCAGAGUGGAGAGCCCUGAACUGGGACAGAGUGGACAGGCGCAGGCCAGGUCAGAGUAGGCAGGCACUGUGACUGGGCGUGCUUAGCAUUUAUACUCAGCAGAGAGGUCAGCUCCACAGAUCACUGCAAGAAGUCCUAGGAGUCACUCCAGCCGGAAGAGACACUCCGGGGAGCAUGAUCGUCAUGCACUUGGUUGGGCAUCCUCAGCUGACUGGAACGGAAGGUGUGGCUACGGAAGGUGUGGCCACUGCUCACACCAUGCUCACAUCCAGGGGCCCAAGAGACACCAGGGAGCCUGCUCCUCCCACAAGGUCCUGGAGGAGCCGCUUCCAGAGAGCUCUGGCACGCGUGUCCAAGUUCUUCAGGAGAGGACGCCGAACGGCCCGAGGCUGAGACCACUGGAACCCUAGACAUGGGGGCCAUGCGCAGUGAUCAAGAUCUAUGGCAGCGCAGGCCCCUGCUUUCAAGGAAUCUUGUCCAGUGAUGUUGAAAUAAAUGCUGG